UUGGUCGUUGCUGUUGUUAUUACUGUAUUUUUCUGUGAUAAAUAUUCCAUUUAGUUCUUUAUAUUUUAUCUCUCUUCCUAUUUUUUAAUUUGUUUCAAGAGUAUUUGUCAUUGCUCUUUGAAGCAUUUUAAUGGUGGUUGCUUUAAAAUGUUUGUCAGAUAAUUCUAACAUCUCUGUCAUCUUGGUGUUAGCAUUUAUUCAUUGGCUUACUUCAUUCGUUUGAGGUCGUCCUGGUUCUUGGUAUGAUGAGCAAUUUUCUACUGAAAGCUUGACAUUUGGGGUAUUAUGUUUUGAGACUCUGUAUCUUAUUUCGAUCUGUUUUCACUGGCUUCCUCUGACAUUGUGGGUGAAGGUGUGGGGGGGGGGAGUGGCAGUGAGCUCUCUCAUUACUGCCAUGUGGGGUGGAAGUCCAGGUCCCUCACUUGACCUCUGUUGACACCCAAGGAAGGGGUCUCCUUCUUACUGCUGGGUAUGGGUAGAAGUGCUAGGCUUCCACUGAUAGCUACCCCAUGUGGUGGUGUCAGAGUGCCUCGAUGCUAUUCCUCACGUGGCCUUGUUACCCCUGUGAGGUUAAAAGGGUCCUGACUCCCCACUAGUUCUCCCAGAUACCACCCUUGCUCCUUGUUACUGCUGUGUGGGGACGAAAGUCCAGCCUCCCCGCGUGGUCUCCACUGUUACUGGGGAGGAGCUUGUGACCACUGAGUGGGGAUGAAAGUUUCAGCUCCCUGCUCAGCCUUCUCAGACCCCACCCUGGGGUGGGAGGCAGGCAGGGUGGGGCAGGGUGGUUGCGGCAUGUUGCAGCCUGGUGAUGAUGGUGGACGUCAGGGCUCCCCUUGGCCUUUGCUGAUGAAGAUAAAAGUUGUACAUAUGGGCUUCCCUCGUGGCGCAGUGGCUGAGAGUCCGCCUGCCGAUGCAGGGGACGCGGGUUCGUGCCCCGGUCCGGGAGGAUCCCACAUGCCGCGGGGCGGCUGGACCCGUGAGCAAUGGCCUCUGGGCCUGCGUGUCCAGAACCUGUGCUCCGCAACGGGAGAGGCCACAACAGUGAGAGGCCCGCGUACCGCAGAGGAAAAAACAAAAAAAAGUUGUACAUACAUUAAAAUGCACAAAUCUUAAGUGGACCGCUUGAUGAGUAAAACCCACCCUCUAUCAAGAUAUAGGGUCUGGUCCAUCACCUGAGAAAUUCCCUCGUCCUCCUUCCCAGUCAAUCCCUGUCCUCAGCCACCCCCCAGAGACAAACAUUGUUUUGCUUUUUAGCAUCCUAGGUUGUUUUGUUUGUUCUAGAAUUCAUGUGAAUGGAAACAUGCAUCAGACACUC